rnacentral:rRNA from 1 species
GMGAAGUCUGACGGAGCACGCCGCGUGAGUGAUGAAGGCUUUCGGGUCGUAAAACUCUGUUGUUAGGGAAGAACAAGUGCUAGUUGAAUAAGCUGGCACCUUGACGGUACCUAACCAGAAAGCCACGGCUAACUACGUGCCAGCAGCCGCGGUAAUACGUAGGUGGCAAGCGUUAUCCGGAAUUAUUGGGCGUAAAGCGCGCGCAGGUGGUUUCUUAAGUCUGAUGUGAAAGCCCACGGCUCAACCGUGGAGGGUCAUUGGAAACUGGGAGACUUGAGUGCAGAAGAGGAAAGUGGAAUUCCAUGUGUAGCGGUGAAAUGCGUAGAGAUAUGGAGGAACACCAGUGGCGAAGGCGACUUUCUGGUCUGUAACUGACACUGAGGCGCGAAAGCGUGGGGAGCAAACAGGAUUAGAUACCCUGGUAGUCCACGCCGUAAACGAUGAGUGCUAAGUGUUAGAGGGUUUCCGCCCUUUAGUGCUGAAGUUAACGCAUUAAGCACUCCGCCUGGGGAGUACGGCCGCAAGGCUGAAACUCAAAGGAAUUGACGGCGGGCGGGGGCGGCGGGACGGGCGCGGGGCGCGGGCGGGCGA